UUUAAGGUUUAGCAUCGGAUUUAGGUUUCCUGAACAACUUUUACGAAAGUUGAGUCGUUGUGUAAGUUAACGUUAGACCUUUGAUAAGAGAGAUCRGCUCCCAAUUUAGCCUAACAUUAUGUUUACAUCUGUGCUAGUAAUACACGCAUAUACAGUGCAGUAAGUUACAGUAUAUGAAUGUUUAGCUAAUGUGGGGCAACUAGUAGGCUACAGCUGUCAGUGUUCAGCAAGUUAACAUUCAGCAAUUUGAAAUCCAUUAACUCAGUUAGAUUUCCGUACUUGAACUCAAAAUGAACAAUUGUUAUUAUCAACCUGUUAACGUUACUCAAAAGAUUACCACAAUUUGCAGAUAGCCUGUUUGGUAUCGUAAAGGUGUAAGAAAUUAUAGCUAGCUAAGUUACUUACUGCAGAGUAGGGCUAGCCUGAAAAGGAAGGGAUAGACUAUUUUUUAAAGAAGCACAAACAGGCAGAUCAGGUGCAAAAGGACCCCAGCCAUUGCAUCACCAUCGGACCCCAGAGCAGCUCCCUACCUGAGGCUAGUGUAAUAAAUAUCAUUUAUUAUAACACAAGCAUAUAGUUUUAACACUAGUCAGAGUCAAUGUGGUCAGACUUCACAAGGACCCAGUCUACCACCACCAGGUCAGAGCAUCUACCAGGUAGUCAGUCACAUGCCCAGUUCAGAAUUUAAGUUUAGCUUCAGCUUGUAAUAGAUGAUUUUGUCAGAUUAAGCCUCACUUUAAAAUGUUGGUUGUUGAUUCAUGUGUGCUCUUGUUUUGAUGGCUGUGGCAUUUUUAUUUUGAUGAUACACUAAUGGUUCUUGUGUUAUUUUAAUGUAAUAGAUAUAUCAAGGGAUGACACAGAGACCUCUGGCUCUGAGCAAGAUAGUGAGCCAGAGCUGCCAGGAGAUGUCAUCGAGCCCUUCCCUCUAAAUUACAGAUUUUAUUUAGCAACGCCUCGACUCAACUAUAAUCCUAUCCUCUAAAGAAGAGAUGGAUAUGUUGGAACAAGUGAGAGCACCUGCAGUGGAGUGACCAGUGAUGACUAGGCUACGUGUUACAGCUGUGUGGAUUCAAGUGUUCAAGGAGAAAUACCUGCAUUGGAUCUCAGAAAAAGAACCAGAGUAAAGAAAUACUUGCUCAUGAUGAUGACGACAACAAAAGGAAAGUUGCAGAGAUGGCCACAUGCAUGCGCUCUGGAGACUGUGAGGCAGGACUGUSCUGCGUCCGCUAUUUAACAGGGAAAAGAUGUCAACGCAUCCCAAAGGAGRGAGAGAUCUGCCUCCUGCGAGGAGGACGCUCUAAACAGCGGAGAAAUCUUGAACGCUGCAACUGUGCUCUCGGGCUAACCUGUCGUGCCCAGGCUGAAAGCCCCAAAAACCAAGGAGUUUGUAUCCCCAAACUGAAAAAGAACAGGAGGAGUGCUAGACACUCAGGCAAGAGGCGUAAUGCCRWGAGAAGAUGUGGAUGACUUAAGCCUUUCUUUCACUCAAAACUUUUGACUCAAUAAACUACUUUUCUGCCA